GGAUGUAGUGCUUGUGUGUGUUUUCACUGCUUUGCUCUCAUCACCUAGAAGAGUCCUUGGCACAUGGCAGGAACUCAAUAAAUAUCUUUGAAACAAAGGAGGAAUGGAUGGAUAGAUGAUUCAGUUGAGGGACUUUUUCCUACUGGACCCAGAUGCUACCUCAGAAUCCUCCUCCAUGCACACCAACCCCGGGCAGCCAUGACCAAUCAGUAUUGGCAUUCUAGCUGACGCCCGUUCACCACAGCUGCAAAGAAAUACUUCUCUCCAUUGCCUCUGCAGGGCAUAUUUCUCCUGAAAGAGAAUCUUAAAUACAUUCGCUGUGGUGGAUUUUCUCUCAAGAUGGUUGCUAGAAUACAAAAAGUGUACUUUGAACAGCCACUAUUGGAGACGAGAAAGCCACUUCUCAAGCUCCACCCCACCAUCACCCCAAAACUUCAUCACUAGGAAAUGUUAAAGGAUGAGAACAGAAUGUGGGAAACACCCAGGCCAUUGUGGUACAGGUAGGUGGGGCUGAGCCCCCUUUAAACCUUUCUUGUGAGUGCCCCCCACCAACCCAACGAAGAACCUUCCACAAAAUUGAAGACUGUACCUCGUGCCAUCAGAGUUGACUCACAAGGCUCUUUGAACAGCACAGCAUGAGGAAUGGGACUUACAAUUACUGGACUGGCAAAGGCUGCUGCUAAUUACCUGUUAGGUGUGACCUUGGAGUAUAGCUGGGGCCAGUGCCAGUCCCAUAAUUUCUGGAAGUAGGUUUUGGCAGAGACUUGUUCUUUCUGAAUCUCCUUGGGCUGUGCAGUCUCUGCUUGGAGAAGCAUUGGGGUUUGGUGGAAAGGACUUUCACUAUAUAUUUCCUUGAAUGGGUAGGUUUAGGGAGCUAGAGAGGAGAAAAGCAUCUAUAUUGAUGGGGAAGACCUUUCAUUAUGGAGUCAAGGCUAUUCAAACAAAAAAUUUUUA
rnacentral:lncRNA from 1 species